AUUGAACGCUGGCGGCAGGCCUAAAACAUGCAAGUCGAGCGAGCGGCGGACGGGUGAGUAAUGUAUGGGAAUCUGCCCGAUAGAGGGGGAUAACUACUGGAAACGGUAGCUAAUACCGCAUACUAUCGGAUGAACCCAUAGGGGCUGAGCUAGUAGGUGGGGUAAAGGCUCACCAAGGCGACGAUCUCUAGGUGGUCUUAGAGGAUGAUCAGCCAAACUGGGACUGAGACACGGUCCAGACUCCUAAGGGAGGCAGCAGUGGGGAAUAUUGCACAAUGGGCGCAAGCUUGAUGCAGCCAUGCCGCGUGUAUGAAGAAGGCCUGCGGGUUGUAAAGUACUGUCAGCGGGGAGGCGUUACCCGCAGAAGAAGCACCGGCUAACUCCGUGCCAGCAGCCGCGGUAAUAC
rnacentral:rRNA from 1 species